rnacentral:rRNA from 1 species
AGUGAACGCUGGCGGCGUGCCUAAUACAUGCAAGUCGAACGAAGUGGCGCACGGGUGGGUAAUAUAUAGUUAAUCUGCCCUACACAGAGGAACAACAGAUGGAACCGACUGCUAAUACCUCAUAGUGUAGGAUGAGACUAUAUCGUAUCAGCUAGUUGGGAAGGUAAUGGCUUACCAAGGCUAUGACGCGUAACUGGUCUGAGAGGAUGAUCAGUCACAUUGGAACUGAGACACGGUCCAAACACCUACGUGAGUCGGCAGUAAGGAAUAUUGCGCAUUGGGGGAAUCCCUGACGCGUCCACGCCGCGUGGAGGAUGACACUUUUCGGAGCGUAAACUCCUUUUAUCAGGAAGGCGGUACCUUAUGAAUAAGCACCGGCUAACUCCGUGCCAGCCGCCGCGGUAAUAC